AACGAACGCUGGCGGCAUGCCUAACACAUGCAAGUCGAACGAGACCUUCGGGUCUAGUGGCGCACGGGUGCGUAACGCGUGGGAAUCUGCCCUUCGGUUGGGAAUAACUGAGAGAAAUUUCAGCUAAUACCUUAUAAUGUCUUCGGACCAAAGAUUUAUCGCCGAGGGAUGAGCCCGCGUAGGAUUAGGUAGUUGGUGGGGUAAUGGCCUACCAAGCCGACGAUCCUUAGCUGGUCUGAGAGGAUGAUCAGCCACACUGGGACUGAGACACGGCCCAGACUCCUACGGGAGGCAGCAGUGGGGAAUAUUGGACAAUGGGCGAAAGCCUGAUCCAGCAAUGCCGCGUGAGUGAUGAAGGCCUUAGGGUUGUAAAGCUCUUUUACCUGGGAUGAUAAUGACAGUACCGGGAGAAUAAGCUCCGGCUAACUCCGUG
rnacentral:rRNA from 1 species